rnacentral:rRNA from 1 species
UACGGGAGGCAGCAGUGGGGAAUAUUGCACAAUGGGCGAAAGCCUGAUGCAGCUAUGCCGCGUGUAUGAAGAAGGCCUUAGGGUUGUAAAGUACUUUCAUCGGGGAGGAAAAAAACAAAACUAAUAAUUUUAUUUCUUGACGUUACCCGAAAAAGAAGCACCGGCUAACUCCGUGCCAGCAGCCGCGGUAAUACGGAGGGUGCUAGCGUUAAUCAGAAUUACUGGGCGUAAAGAGCACGUAGGUGGUUUUUUUAAAGUCAGAUGUGAAAUCCCUGGGCUUUAACCUAGGAACUGCAUUUUGAAACUGAAAUAUUAGAGUAUCGUAGAGGGAGGUAGAAUUCUAGGUGUAGCGGUGAAAUGCGUAGAUAUCUGGAGGAAUACCUGUGGCGAAAGCGGCCUCCUAAACGAAUACUGACACUGAGGGUGCGAAAAGCGUGGGGAGCAAAACAGGGAUUAGAUACC